rnacentral:rRNA from 1 species
UACGUAGGGUGCGAGCGUUAAUCGGAAUUACUGGGCGUAAAGCGUGCGCAGGCGGUCUGUUAAGACAGAUGUGAAAUCCCCGGGCUUAACCUGGGAACUGCAUUUGUGACUGGCAGGCUAGAGUAUGGCAGAGGGGGGUAGAAUUCCACGUGUAGCAGUGAAAUGCGUAGAGAUGUGGAGGAAUACCGAUGGCGAAGGCAGCCCCCUGGGCCAAUACUGACGCUCAGGCACGAAAGCGUGGGGAGCAAACAGG